rnacentral:rRNA from 1 species
AUGUUUAUCCUUCUAUUAAAAAUGUAUUUUUUUUUAUUGGAGAAGGGGGCUUCAAUGGCAGAGAUAGUAGGAAGAAGAAAAGUUAUCUACCAUAAAAAAGGUCACAUGACAUGCAUGACGAUCCUAAGGUUACAUGUUAGCCAUGUUUUUAAAGGAAAGGGUUCCAAUAAAAAAAAGUCUCGCUAUGGCAGGAAAACGAGUAGUAAGGGGAGGGCCCGGCAGAAAAAAAAGAGACCAUGUGUUGGUGAUAACAGUCGGAUAGUCUGGACAACCAUAUUUCUUCUCCAGAGUAAUGCUACAUCUACGUGA